rnacentral:lncRNA from 1 species
GGACUUAAUCAGUUUUUCAAUUUUCAUAUAUGGCUGCUGUGAGCUUUUAACCCUUUAGCCAGAGUCAAGUUUGACAGAAUUUCUGGUGUAUUUUUUAAAUUAAAAAAUACGUUAAAAUAAAAUUUUAAUAAUUAAAAAAAUUUAAUGCCUUGGCCUGAGCCCCAUUCCUGACUACAGCUUGGAGGCCAGGUCCACACAGAGGGAAGCCAGCUCUGUGAUGGGGCUGUCUUUGUGGCAGAAGUCAUGGCCACUCUGCUCCUUGAAUAGAAUUCCGUUCAUUACGUAGAUAUUGGGUAGAAACAGACAAGGCCAAGAGGGCUGACCUCCACUUGUCUUCCUCAAAGCCUGACAGCCCCCAGGGCUGGGCAGGGCCUGUCUGUAAGGAGAGAGGAAGUGACCAGACUCUUAGCCAGUCUCCAACCAGGGGUCCAGCUGGUGAAACCCUCUCUCCAUUUUUUCCACUAAGUUGCUCUGUCCCACGUGGAGUUUGACUGGCUGUCAGAAGCCGCCUUCUUCUCUCCCAUCCCCCAUCCUCCACGUGCCUUUGGUCCUCUGCUGCCCUCCCCUAGGCCAUCACCCACCCCGGAAAAGCCCAGGACAUCCUGCAAGCUCUCACAUCUACCUUGGCCUGGGCAGUAGCUUUAGUAUUUUAGAUUCCUGGAAAUAGCAGCAUCUCUAAGACAAAAUAUCCUUCUUCUUGCCAAAGCCUGUUUCAUCAGGCAGGACUUUACCGUAGCUCUACUGAUGAGGUUGCUCCGGAUUUGUUUUCCCAGAAACCUCUGCAGAAGAGGGCCUUCAAGAGAUGGGGGCAGAGAAAAGCCCACCCUGCCAUCAUCACCUAGGCAUGCCUGUGUGUGAGCGUUGGUUGCUAUGGCUUUCCCGCCGGAUGGUCAGCCUUGUGAAGGAGGGGUCCGUGUGUAUUCCCUUCCUGCUCCAUCCCCAGCACAGAGAAAGAGGAACAUAGUAGGAGCUGUAGAAAUAUUUGUUGAACAAAUGAAUAAAUAAAUGCUAAUGGUAAAUGCUAAUGAACUCAAUACCCAAACAUGCCGGUUGAUGGAUUAGGCCAUUAGUCAAACAUUACAGUGCAGGCUGGUAUUUGCAAAUCCCUCUUUGAUCCAGAACUUAUCAGGAGUGGGGAUGAUUUUCUCUCAUUAAGAGGCCUUACUGGUGAUAUUAUGUCUCUGGGAGCUCAUAGAGAAAAAUUAGGCUUUUUUGCACAAUGGACCUCCCUUUAAACUGAUUUAUCAAGGAAAAAAAUAUUAUUUUCACAUAAUAAUUUAGGGGGCAUGUUUUCCCUUAAGAAGCUCACUUAUGAACUGCAAUAAUGCUUUUAGCCCAGUCAUAGCAAUACUAAAUGCUGACACCCCUUCCCCCUGGCAGAGGCAGAGUGUUGGAAGGAAAUCCCCCUUUUAUGUUUCUAUCUGGGGGGAGUGAUGUCAUUUUGUCAACAAAGCUUUAAGAAACACGGCCUUCCGUGGCAUGUCCUGUCCGUGUGGCUUUGCUUUUGCCUUCUGUCUCCUCCGAGAGGACAAGUUGGUAAAUGAAAGGCUCCGUGACUGUCGUCCUGAGCUGGUACCUUUGCCACUGCUGGAGCCUAAAUAAGUGAGUUUCCAUGAGCAGGAAUGGCUGAUUCAUAAUUGGAUCACGUCAUUUCACAGUGCUGGAUUCACAGAGCAGGAAAAGGACAAUGAAGAGAUAAAACUUGGAGUUCCUGUUGGGGCUCAGCAGGUUAAGAACCUGACUUAGUAUCCAUGAGGAUGCAGGUUCAACCCCUGGCCCCGCUGAAUGGGUUAAGGAUCCGGUGUUGCCGUGAGCUGGGGUGUAGGUCACAGAUGCAGCUUGGAUCUGGCCAUUGCUGUGGCUGUGGUGUAGGCCAGCAGGGGCAGCUCUGAUUCGACCCCUGGCCUGGGAACUGCCAUAGGCUGCAGUGGACCCUAAAAAGAAAAAAGAGAGAGAAGGAGAGAGAGAAACCUAAUACCACCAGCAAAGUCCAGGACAGCCCUCCUUUUCUCAGGUGCAUUCCUAAGUGUCAAGAUGACAUUGUUUUUGAAAGAAGAGAAAACAAAAGCCCUGAACACAAUCUCCAAAUGGUGGAAGGGACCGGGGUGCUGUUUAACCAUCAGCCGUCCCCACAGAUGCCAGUCAAGGUGCCCUAGUAUCUGUGGCAGAUCUGAUUAGGUAACCCUGGGUGAUUUUGUUCUGGGAGCCCCUGAGCCCAGGAACACAGCCAGGGACUUACAUUUGCAGGUAGUUUAUAUGAGGAAUCUGAAGAUAAAAUGGAGAAAGCCAGAGCCAUGUCACAUCUUAGCAAGGACUCCAAAUAAGACUGGCCUAGGCAGAAGGAGGCUGGAUGGGUUGGUGAUUAGAUUUUUUUUUGCUUUUUAGAGCCACACCUGUGGCAUAUGGAAGUUCUCAGGCUAAGGGUUGAAUCUGAGCUGCAGCUCCCAGCCUACACCACAGCCCCAGCAAUGCCAGAUCUGAGCCUCAUCUGCAGUUUACACUGCAGCUCAUGGCAAUGCUGGAUCCUUAACCCACUGAGCGAGGCCAGGGAGCGAACCCACAUCCUCAUGGAUACUAGUUAGGCUCGUAACCCAAUGCGCCACACUCUGGUGAUUAGAUUAACUUAAUCUUAAUGCUGCCAGUCUUCCAACAGCCCACACUGCCUGCCUGACUGCCUGCAGCCAGAUGUGAGUUCUCAUCAGCCCCUAGGAGGACCCCAUUUCCAGAGGCUUGGGGGGGCAGAUGGUCCACCUCUCCACAGGGCUACCACCGUCCUGAGCCAAAUGCCAAAGGGAUAGAAAGAGAAACGCCACCUGGUGGGGGAGAUGUCAUCACUGUGAGCGAGCGCGGGCUGGACAGGAAGAGCUGGGGGUGGUACCUCAGGAUGCCUGUCUGCAGACGGGUCCCACUUCUGUGGAUGCUGGGGGCUGGUAUUUCAUCCACCUCCUCGCCCGAGUGGAUUGGAGAGGCUGGCCGGCCUCUAUCCAGACCAACCAGCACUUAUUAAAACCACAGCGCCAUCUAGUAUUGCCAGCUCCCUGCACCGGGUAUGGGGUGAAUAGUUGCUGCCGGAAAGAGGAAUGAAAGGCAAGAGCUGGAAGGAAGAAAGGGACAGAAGAAAUGACGGUGGGAAGCAAGUCAGAAAGAGAAAGACAGACACCAUAUGCUAUCACUUCCAUCUGGAAUCUCAUAUACGGCACAAAUGAACCUUUCCACAGAAAAGAAACUCAUGGACUUGGAGAACCGACUUGUGGUUGCCAAAGGGGAGGGAGUGGGAUGGACUGGGAACGCGGGGUUAAGAGGUGCAGACUGUUGCCUUUGGAAUGGAUAAGCCAUGAGAUCCUGCUGCAUAGCACCGGGAACUGUAUCUAGUCACUUGUGAUGGAGCCUGAUAAUGGGAGCAAAGAGGAUGUAUCCUUGUAUGUGUUACGGGGUCACCAUUGCUGUACAGUAGAAAAUUGACAGAAGACCGUAAAUCACCGAUAAUGGAAAAAAAAUUUUAGAAAAAGAAGCGAAGGUGAGGGUGGUGUUUCCUGCCUUCACGUGGUCACCCCGUCUCCUUCUCUGUGGGCCCUUCCUGAGCCCUGAUAGAACUAAUACCCACUUAGGACUUACCGUCUGUACUGUCUCCCUUGCCCCAUUCUUCACGACCUGUACUAGGUAAGAGCGUGCUAAGUAUCCCUUUGCUCCUUGGUUUCCUGUCUAGCCCCCCCUUUUAGCUUGUAAAGUUCCUAACAGUCGGACUGCUUUGGGGGGAUGUUCUCUGUUCUAGCACAGGACCCCCCCACACACCCAGAGCACAGGAAUGGGUGUGUCAUAUGUGUACAUUGGACCUGGUAGAUACUGACUAGCAGUGUGGCAUCAUGACCCAAAGCAUGGGCUUUGGGGCCAGGGCACCUAGGGCAAGUCCUGGCUCUGUCUGUCACCAGCUGUGCAGCCUUGGGAAGCAAUUUGACAUUUUUCUGUCUCAUUUUCCUCAGCUCUGUUGUAGCUUAGUCAUAGUAAAUACAUCAUGAGGCUUUUAGAAGGAUUGAGUAACCACGUAUAAAUGGCCUAAAAUAGUGACUAGGAUUAAAAAAGCACCCAAUCAAUGUGAGCUCUAGGAUGUGUGUGUGUGUGUGUGUGUUGUGUACAUAACACCAUGUGAGAGUAAUUGCUUGGGUUUACACACACACACACACACACACGGAUAUUUAAAUCAUGGGAGUGAAAAUUGAGGAAGAAUAAAAGUGGGAGGGAAGGAAUGAAGGACCAAAAGUAGCGGAUAAAGACCGAAAUGAUGAGAGAGAAGGAAGUUGGGUUGAGGGGAAGGAGCAGUGGCUUUGCGCUUUUUUAUCCGAAAGGAAACUUUAAUCCCCAAGGUGUUCUAAAUUUCCCAGAGUGAAGGUUCAGCAUAUACGAAGAAAGUUAACCGGUUCUAAAUUAAUAUAUGAAUUUGUAAUGAUGCCUUGAAGCUAAUCUUUUUAUCUAUGUAUUAUUUGGAAAUACAUCCAAUGUGAAAAGCCCACAAUUUGCCCCAAGCACUGGGUGACCAAAAAAA